UCCGUUAUCCUUCCUCCACGUCGUGUUCCUGGUCAUCGAUCUCUGCCUCCUUCGCGUGUCUCGUCAUAAUUGCAAAAUUGAUUUGUCUAUCUUUUGUUCAUAGCAAGAGUUAAGGAACUUUCAUAAUUCUUUCCUGGACCUUGUGUUUGGUUCAAUUAAAUUAUUUUGCCUUAGAUAUUAACUCUUGAUCUAAUUGUACUUGAUUAUCUUGUUUAUCUAUGCUUUACUUCGGCUGGAGUAGCUAUAUUCUCUUGUUUCACUCUGGUGGUAUCUCCAAUUCAGAAAGCAUCUUUAAUUGAAAAAUCACGCCAAAAACCUCAGGAAAGGAUUAAGACUCUGACAAAUGCUGUAGGAAAUAAUUCCUAUGAUCAUGACCCUGUACUUGCUGCAUGUGGAAUUUAUGUUGAGAAGACUCGUGUUCUUGAGCCACCAAAGUUGAAGGUUGGAAAGAAUGAUGAUUGCUUCCCCAAUAAGGGAAGGUAGAAUUUCAGUAAAAAGACACUUCUACAACCAUCACACAUUGAUUACUGGGCUGUUGUCAACUUUUCUGCACGUUGUGAAAUGAUAAUGAUAAUUUUUCUAGAUUUCUACGAAUCAAGUGAUAAAUGUAAACCAUCUCAAGUUAUUGUCUUCAAGUUCCAUUUGAUCACUUUUACAUUCAAUUUACAUCCAAUAAUAUAUGGUCUUCAGGUGAACUAAGUUGUUUGUAAGCCUAUAGUAAUAAGCUGAAAGGUGCUAGUAGUGCUUACUACAAUAUGAUAUCUAAAUAGUACAAUUUGUUCUGGUAUUGGAUGGGUGGUUUAUAAAGUUUAAAUUAUAUAUUUAUAUGGAUAA